GAAAAACUAAAAAUAACAAAGCUGCUGCAUCACAUCUGGACUGUUAAAUAAUCGUCUGAUGAUAAAGCUGACAGGAACAUAACAGUGGAUACACACUCCAUCCAUCUGCUUCUUCCACUUCUUCCAAGUCCAGAACUACCUCUCUGCUGGUUCCAGUUUGUCAGUCACAUCCAGAUCUGACAGCAGAGACGCUCAGUUCCAGUUUACUCCAAAACCCUCCCUGAUGUCUAAUUACUGUAGUCCCAUUAACAUACGGCUCUGUCAGGCUGAUUCUCCACACAGCUGUUCUCCACACGGAGGAAAAGUCCAGCCUGGUUAGAAACAGAAACUGGAUCUCUCUGCAGUUUUGAACAACACCUGGAAACACCUGGAAACACCUGUGACCUUCUGUUGGUCACAUAGAAACUCAAUUUCAUUCUCUGGGCUGUAGGUGUGGUGGUCAGUUUAGAAGUAAGGUGAUACAUUUUAGAGAACUGAAUUCAUUACCAGGGGUGUGACAGUAUCCAAAUUAUUUGUGAUGACUUUUUGCAAAGUUUAAGAUCAUUUCAAAUUAACUCAAUUUUAAAUCGAGAUCUAAAGUUCCUCCAGAUGACCUGCACACUCCCUGAUCCGUUCUUUCUGCUUAGGUUAUGGAACAUAACUAAACUGGGAAUCAUUCCAGUCUUGUGAAGUUGAAGCUGAUCAAAACUACUAUAUUUUAUAUCCUCUGGUUUCAAUGAUAGGAACAACAGAAAUGAAGAGAAAUGUAAACAGUGGUGUCAUCUGUAUAUGGCUUAUAAUUUAGUUUGGGUCCAAGUACAGAUCUUUGUGGCACACCUUAUUUAAAUCCUGAAACUGUGCCGUACUGUUUUCUGUUUCUGUGAUAAGUAUUUCAACCAGUUUCAGGACAUAGAUCUGAUGCCAUAUGAUCACAUUUUAGAAAGAAGAAUAUCUUAAUUCAGAUUUUUUUUUUACCUUAAUGAAUAGUCUGACAGUUCAUUGAGGGGAUGCAUUAUCAAGGCAAAUACAAAAAACACAAUUAUUUUUAUUGCUUUUAAGAGCUGUCAGACUUCCACUUUUAGUAGAAUUAGAAUUAAACACUGUGGUAUUAAAAACAAAAAGGCCUGAGCUCUUUCACCACCUUCAUUUUUUCACAGGCCGCAGAUCUAAUAGGUCAUUUUCAUUCUGAAUCAUUGUGAAGUCAUGAAUUGGGAUUAUUAUCUUUUAUUAUGAAUGACCAAAAUCAUUCAGUUCAUUUACAUGUUGUUUAAAAGGAUCAACUGAUUGCAUUAGUCUGACUGAAACUGGAUUUUUAAAGCAUGGCUGAAAACAGACUAAAGUGAGCUACUCGUGCAGUUUGGGGAUAGAUUUUCUCUGUCAUGUAUGCUCUUCUAUUGGACUGAAACUGGCCUCAGUGUUCAGCAUAAAUAUGUUGCAAAAGAUGAAACUGUGGUAUUGACUGAUUAAAAGAUCCAGAGCUGUAAAAGUGACGGUGUUUUCAACCGUAAGUCCUGGAUGAUAUCAUUAAAAGUGUCCCCAUUACAGCAUAUAAGAAACUUCUGAAUCUAAAGCAGACUCAGUUCAGUUGAGGAUAUGAUCCUUGUCCUUUGAUUGAUGCAUUAAUCUGAUAUUUACCACAAACUUGAACGGAUUCAGUGAGACUGAGGCUACAGGAGACGGACGUAGAUAAAACAGUUUGAUUCAUCGUUUGAUGCCCCAGGGGACGUUCUGUGAUUAAAUCACUGUCCUCGGUUUGAGGGGGAAUAAAUUCAACUCUUUCUGACACUCAAACAUGAGGCAAAGACAGAAUUAGGUUAAAAAUAAAGAAAUAAAACAAUUUCAGUGACGUCAGGCAGCAUCUGAUUCAUUUAUAGGUCCUCAGACAGAUAGAUAACAGACAUAGUCUUUUUUUAAAUUCACAUUCGAGCAUCAAAAUCAAUGGUACACUUUACUCUCCAAGCUGUCAGUUCAGCCUCUGAUACCAAAAACUGAAUUAGCUCUUCUGAAUGUUUUCACUUUGCCAGCAUUUUCUGACCAUAAAGAAAUUCCUCUGGCAUUAACACCACAAACACAGAGAGGCAGUCAGCACUCCGCCGCCUCUCUCUCCGUGUGCUGCUGCCAAACAGACCAUCAGUUGUUGCAGCAGCUGCCGGGUGCCUUCGGACACUCCGACCUGCUCGCAAACUUCCUGUUAGAGAUAUUGCACGCCUCAGCUGGGGGACUGAUGGGAAAGCACUUUGAUUAUCUCAGCCAGCAGAAGUGCAGAAACAGGAGGAGGGCUGUUUUUUUUUAAAGGGUUGUCUAACACUGUUCGAGCCAAAGAUGCUGACACAUUUCUCUAGUGGCAAGGAAACGUGUGGCAUUCACCAGUUUUCCCAUAUUUAAAGGGAAUAUGUAAGACUGCAGAUGGUGAAUUUUUAUAUUUGGUAUGAGAGAGACUCGUAAGAGGGAAAAAGCCUUUUUAUGCACUCCUAAAGUCACCCAAACUUGGGAUGAUUGGUGGGCAGAGGUGAAUGUCAGUAGUCAGGAUAGUUAAGUCUGCCCCCUUGUUCUUUCAUUUUAAAAUAAAUGCCAUGGACGGGCCUUAUUUGAGAGUCAUAAUGCAAACAAAACAUAAAAUACCCCCUCUGGUGCCCUUUGCAUUAAAAAUACAUGAAAAACUUGCUUCAGUAGCCCAACUCUGAAAGGAUUGUGUCACAGUUCAGGGUUAAACAAAAGAACUAAAUGAUAAAACAACAAAAAACUUUCUUCAAAAAUUACAAGAUGCAAAAUCCAAAGAAUCAAAAAUCACUGGGUACACAAGCAUGCACACACAUUGAUGUACAAUGAGUCAACAAAGAAAGAGGGGAAAGCAGGGACUAUAUAUACACACAGGGAAACGAGCAACGAGAGGCAGGUGAGGCAGUGUUGUGUUGUUCGAGAACGAUUCGUUCAAAAGAACCAAAUCUUUUAAGUGAAUGUACUGAACCGAGUCACUUCCUUGAGUGAUUAGUUCGUUUCUCACUUCAGUUGAGCUGAAGUGAGAAACAGCAUUGCCAGGCUAGCAGCCGGCAAACGAGGGACCACAUGCUCCGACGCCUUAAUCACUUGGUGAACGAAUCACGCAUUGAACUACACUCUCUGGAAUAACUUUUGUCAGACAAAACUAAAUUUUUUCACUGCUAAAUCGCCACCACAACAACUUGCAUACAAUAGGACACAGCAUGUAACAAGUAGUGCAUCCUAACAUUGCAGUGGUUUGCGAGGGAACGGUGCAUGUUCAGUGUGAAUUCUUCUAAACGUCCAGUGAACGAAUCACUCACUGACCUCAAUUUACUGAGCAGACCUGGUAAAUAGCACACCAUAGGACAGUACACUUAAAACAUCAUGACUUAUAAACAAGUUCAUUUUUACAAACCUGUUUGUCAAAGCAACACAGACAAACACUCUUGUCUCCUGGUCCCAGAAACUAUGAAUUGAACUGAAUCCUGAAACGUUCAGCUGUAUCUAAAUGAUUUAGUGAUUUGGUGAACGAAUCUUUUGAACGAAUCUUUUUAGUGAACUGAUUCUAGUGAUUUGGUACAUCUCAAAGAACUGUCGUGCCCAUCACAAAGGUGAGGCACUGAGACACAGGUGUAGACAAUUAUUGAGGAGGGAAAACUGAGGAAGUAAAACAAGACUGUACACAAAAGGACUAACUAUUACAAAAUAAAACAGGAAACACUGAAAACUGAUCUAAAGAAUAAAACACUGAAAACAUGAGGGAAACAGGGUCAGACACAAACUGAAAACUCACAAGACUGGACUACAGGGGAACAGAAACACUAGAAAGCACUCAAAUAAACAACACGAGGAGAAAACUAAAUCAACUAAACAUAUCAUGACAGACUGGACAUGACAAAGUGUCCUCUGCUUGUCCUCUAUAAUGUAAAAAAAAGUGCAGUCUGAAUGCCUCCAUUGAAAAAUGAAAUGCCAAAUAAUAAUCAUCUUGACUUGUUUUAGACUUCUAGAUAUGUGUCUUGUUUGUGUAUUUGCAGCAUUUUCAUCCUGAUCAUGAGCCUCAUCAGUCAAGACCUGUUAAGCAAAUUUUGAGAAAGAUGUACGACCCCCAUAAAAGGUCAAGACUAAACCUCAAAUGUCUUCUGGUCCUGGGAACAUCCCUGUACACGUCUGACUUGUUUCACUCCUUAGGGAUGCAUCUCUUCUCCUCUCCUUCUCUCCAAACUCAAGUGUCGUAUUGGCAGGAAUAUUGCACAAACACUUGUAAAGCACUGAAAUCUUCACAUUUGGAUCCCUCUCCCUCUGCCACCCCUCCUCUUCCCUUCCCCCUCCCUCCUUCUUCUGAAAUAGCGCCGUAAACUGCAGGGUGUCUGCUGCCACUUGGGCAUUUCAUUCCUCAGACAAUCAACACUUGACCAGAUGGACACGAGGAGUGGCCGCUCUGCAGACUGCACACAAAACGCACCACAAAAAAAUGAUAGAUUCAAAGCGGUGGUGUUUGUGUUUAUGCGUCUUUUUUUAUGCAUUCAGAGAGGUACAGAUGUACAUAACACCAUGCACAGCUUGUGAUCAUUAGUCUCACUGAUGUGCAAAGAAAAGACAAAGGUGGAGGAUUUCAGCUCACUCUCUCUUUCUUUGUAAUUGACUGUAUUGGAGUAAAUAGAUGUACCUCGCAGGAAAUCUGCAUCUCUCUCUCCUCUAGUGAUAAAUCAUACCCAUAAAGACUUUUUUUGUUACCGUCAGAAGCCGCAGAAAUAAGAAUUUGCGGUGUGAGGGUGUUAUUUAUUCCUGUGGCAUUGUCAGUGUCUUUCCUUUCCACUGAUCUCCAGCUGAAAAAGCUUUUCUUACAAGCCCCAUUCAGGCAGAACAAAGCAGCGCACUAAUCAUUCAAAACCAGAUCGCACUGCCUGUCCUCGGGGAUCUGACAGGCUCAAUGCGAAAUCUGUUAAAAGAAAUAGUUUUGGAGACUCCGCUAAAGGUCAAGUAGAUGGAUUAAGAGAUAAAAGUCUGAUGAGAUAGAAAGUCAGCGACACAAAAGCCGCAUACCUGAGAUGGAGGCCUUGUCCACUCACAACCUUUUCUGAGACUCUCUUGAGGAAAGAUAGUCGCCUAAAUAAUAGCGAUUCAGCGUGACCUUAGCCAAAGUAUCUGGAUACUCUGAGUUUAUCAGAGGAGAAGUUAGAUAAUCUCAUAGGUCAGCUGAUAAGACUUAAAACUGCGAGGAAGCCAAAGGAUGUCGGAGGAUAACAAUGAGCCUCAUUCAUCAAUUUCUACUAAAGUCUUUUAAUUUUCUCUUAAAAUGUCCCUGAGAAAACUCUGAAGCUGAGUCACGAGGCUGCAGAGCUUAAGGCGCUGCAGUUUACAAGCAGCGUCUCUGGUAACGGGUCAAUACCACAUGCGUGACAAUUUGAUACAUUAGACCUACAACAAAGAGGAACUGCCUAAAGAGUGGAGCAAUCCUGACUAACCUGGGAAUUCCACUGGAUCCAGAACGGCUCCGCUCCGAAAAUGCAAGCAUAUAGUGCCCACCUGAUCCGAUCUGCUGCCGCCAUCGUAGGAGAAGCCCUGGCGAUAUUGAUAGUUCUCUUAAGACUGGACGAAAUCUCAGGAGAUCUCGCAUGUUUCCCCUUGAGACGUUGAAUGAGAUUUGACAAUUACUCUGUAACCGCAUACAACUUCUGCUGCUGCUCAUGCUGCGCUGCCCUAAAUUGAUGCGUAGUGCUCCGGCGUCCGGCAAAAAUAGAAGCCUUGCGUAUCUGAUCUGGCCGCCAGAGCCAGACGGCGGACAGAAACAUAUUCUGUGGAAUGACACACAUUGAAUGUGAUGCUUGCCGAUUUCAUCCGCCUGCCAUGCCAUGCCGAAGUGGAGCGGAGCCGUUCCGGAUCCUGUGGGUUUUGCCCAUGACUGUCUCUACACACCAAGCGCGAGUAAAAUCAUUCGCGAAUGAAUUGCAUGUUAAGUCAAUGCAAAGAUGAGAUUAGAUGUCAUUCUACUUUGGCGGCGCGAAUGAUGCAAACUGGGCGGGAACUCAACUCAACAUGAGCCGAUAUUCACUGUUAUCUAAAUUGCAGGACAAACCGACUGAUCUGGUGUCGGUGCCCCAAAUUACAUGAUACCCUACAAGAAACUGAAAUAAAAAGGAGCUAGCCUGGAGGCAAGUGAGUGAGGACGUCAGAUUACCUGGUAAGUUUUAAAAAACUUUUGUCUAUCACUUGAUCCCGCCUUUUAAAUUGGCAGGGAUUACCGUUGAAGUUACCGUUGACGAAUGAAGCGAGUCAAUAGUGUUCAUUCAUGCAUCAAAAUUCACGCAAAUUAAGCAAUUAAGUAGAAGAUUUUACUUGCGCUUGUUGUGAGCGCCCCAUAAGAGUGAUAAGCUUCUAUAAUGUGUUCCCUUAAAAUGACACAGCAUUUUGACUGAAGGUGAAUCGUACCUCACAGUCACAUGAUGCACGUCGGGUACAUUCCUGCUUUUGGACAGCGUGCGUCAUCACCCACUCAAAGCAUGUUUGGAGCGUAGCAGCAGCAUACUGCAACCAUGGGCGGCUGGACUCAGUAUACAGAAAGCAAAACACUCACAACAGGUUGCUUUGCCCUUUAGUGCUUUAGUUGGGCUAACCUCCCACACAUGCAGGUUUAAAAAAUUUGUAUGAUAUUCAAAAAAGUCAUUCGAAAAUUUGCAGAAAGACUCAAACAGUCAAGACAGGAA